AUCGUACCCCAAACCGACACAGGUGGUCAGGUAGAGAAUACCAAGGCGCUUGAGAGAACUCGGGUGAAGGAACUAGGCAAAAUGGUGCCGUAACUUCGGGAGAAGGCACGCUGAUAGGUAGGUGAAGUCCCUGCGGAUGGAGCUGAAAUCAGUCGAAGAUACCAGCUGGCUGCAACUGUUUAUUAAAAACACAGCACUGUGCAAACACGAAAGUGGACGUAUACGGUGUGACGCCUGCCCGGUG
rnacentral:rRNA from 1 species